rnacentral:rRNA from 1 species
CUUGUCUGCCCCAUACACCGGAAUAGCUCCUGGAAACGGGUGGUAGUGCCGGAUGCUCCAGUUGAUCGCAUGGUCUUCUGGGAAAGCUUUCGCGGUAUGGGAUGGGGUCGCGUCCUAUCAGCUUGACGGCGGGGUAACGGGCCACCGUGGCUUCGACGGGUAGCCGGCCUGAGAGGGCGACCGGCCACAUUGGGACUGAGAUACGGCCCAGACUCCUACGGGAGGCAGCAGUGGGGAAUAUUGCACAAUGGGCGCAAGCCUGAUGCAGCGACGCCGCGUGAGGGAUGGAGGCCUUCGGGUUGUAAACCUCUUUUAUCGGGGAGCAAGCGAGAGUGAGUUUACCCGUUGAAUAAGCACCGGCUAACUACGUGCCAGCAGCCGCGGUAAUACGUAGGGUGCAAGCGUUAUCCGGAAUUAUUGGGCGUAGAGGGCUCGUAGGCGGUUCGUCGCGUCCGGUGUGACAGUCCAUCGCUUAACGGUGGAUCCGCGCCGGGUACGGGCGGGCUGGAGUGCGGUAGGGGAGACUGGAAUUCCCGGUGUAACGGUGGAAUGUGUAGAUGUCGGGAAGAACACCAAUGGCGAAGGCAGGUCUCUGGGCCGUUACUGACGCUGAGGAGCGAAAGCGUGGGGAGCGAACCGGAUUAGAUACCCUGGUAGUCCACGCCGUAGACGGUGGAUGCUGGAUGUGGGGCCCGUUCCACGGGUUCCGUGUCGGAGCUAACGCGUUCUGCAUCCCGCCUGGGGAGUACGGCCGCAAGGCUAAUGCUCUCUGAAGUUGACGGGGGCCCGCACAAGCGGCGGAGCAUGCGGAUUACUUCGAUGCAACGCGAAGACCUUACCUGGGCUUGCCUUGUCCCGGACGCUCCAGAGAUGGGGGCUCCCUUCGGGGGCGGGUUCCCAGGUGGUGCAUGGUCGUCGUCGACUCCUUGUCGUGACCAUGUGCGGUAGGUCCGCAACUAAGCGCAACCCUGGCCCGUUUUGCGCCCGAUUUUGCGGGACUCCUGGGGAC